UAUGUUGGCUUCAGGUGGACAGCAGCGCGGAGCCCGGGCGGCAGACGCGAGGCCUGCAGGCCGAACCCGGCCCUCCACCUUGUUUUAUCCAGCGGCCGCAGCGCCGAGCUCCGCGCCCCGGUUAAGGAGCAGCAGGACACCAGUCAAACACUCCCGCGGCCGAAGACCGGCGCCGGGGCCGGGGCCGUGAUGGAGCUGUGUGCCCCCGAUCACGCAGUCCUGGGACUGGCAGCGAAGCGCCCGCCCGGUCGGUGACGGAUGAGGCUCGCGGGGCCGGGCCGGCGCGGCUUGUGGAGCCCGCAUUCAAUCCACUGGGCCACCCCAGCCAGGGCCCUGGUGACAAUCUUGAUAAGGGAAGAGUGAAUCAGUCACUUUGGACCCUGAAGCUGGCCGGUUCCACGCAGUUGGCGAGAGCAGGGCUUGCCACGCAGUGAACCUGGAACAGAGGGACAGCGUAGCGUGAGGCAGAGAGAGAUGCUGGCGCACCAUCGCUGCCUCUUUAAAGGACUCGGCUGGGACUCAGAUCUUCUCGCCGUCUGCAGGACAGGUGUCGUCGGGGCCUCCACAGGGAGACGGC